GGGGGAAGAAAGGGGAGGCGAACCCGGAAGUGCAUGUGGCCGAUGGGGGCUGGCGGAGCGGCGGCCUGAGGGGGUAUUGGACACAAUGACAAUCACUGUAGUGUAUGAUAACUCUGAAGCUAUGGAGCUCUGUGCUUCUCAGCAUCUGUAUCUUAAACCAGUAGCAAAACUGACUAUCAAUGUGGUGUUUCCAGAACACACAGAAUCUACUCGAUCUUUCUCUAAGUGGGAAGUGAUGGACAAGCUGAAGAACAUGAUUUGUCCAGACCAAUUUACUACUGUUAGGGUUUCAAAGAGCACUAAGGAUUUCAUUCGAUUUGAGGGAGAGGCAGAAACUAAAAGGUUGAUCCUCACACUUAAGGAAAAACUGCAUGGAAAGGUAAUAAAACUGAAUGGUUUCAAAGAUGACUUGAAAGUGAUGGCCACCGAGGCACACACUGACUUUCCAACUCCACAGGAGUGGGCAUCUUACCUGAAUAAAAGAGAGAUUACGAAUGAAGACCUUACUGAGCAAACCGCUGAUAUUCCUGAUUGCAUCUAUUUUGAAGGUUUGCCAUGCAAAUGGUUUGCACUAAAGGGCUCAAAUAAUGAAAAGCCAAGUGAAGAUGUUUUAAGAGUGGUGUUCGAAAGCUUUGGAAAGAUCAAGAACAUAGAUAUCCCUAUGCUUGACCCUUAUAGAGAAGAAAUGGUGGGAGGAAAUUUAAAUAACUUCCUUUUUGGAGGUCUACAGACAUUUGAAGCUUUUAUCCAGUACCAAGAGUAUACGGCUUUUGUGAAAGCUAUGGAGUCACUUAGGGGAAUGAAGCUGAUGUUUAAAGGGGAUGAUGGAAAAGCUCUGGCAUGUAACAUGAAGGUGACUUUUGAUACAACCAAACAUUUCAGCAAAGGAGCCAUCAAAAAGAGAAGGCUGGAAAGACAAAAGCUGCAAGAGCUAGAGCAAGAAAGAAAAAGGGAAAAAAAGAAAGAGGAAGAGGAGGCUGCAAGAAAAAGACGUGAUGAUGAAAAAAAUGCUCGAGAAAGAAAAAGGAAGGCUAAGCUCAAGAGGAGAGAACACAGGCAGAUAGAUCGGGAUGAGAAACGCCCAAGAAAGCAGCAGAAGGUAACAGCUGAAGAAGAGCAGUGGCCAGAGAAUAUGCCUGAAUGGGAAGAGAGGAAAUAUCUACUAGCUCAGAGAAGAGUGGAGUCUAUAAGGCUGCUUACCGUGCUGUUAAGCCGAGUAAAAGAUUUUGCACAGUUGACCGGCCAAAAAGUGGAGCCCUUGCUGCACCCUGAAGAUAUAAGAAAGGAUUGCUUUCCUGAGACAGAGUUACAAAAUGCAGACAGAGCAGAGCAGAGAGAAUCCCAUUAUCUUCUACACAAAAAACUGAAGGAUAAGAAAAAAUUUAGGAGUCAGUUCUUCCAAACGGUUAACACCUCUUUUAGUGAGGAAGAGGUGCCAACUAAUCUGCCUGCAUCACCUUGUCAUCUUGUAAGAACGAUCUUAAAUGAUCCAACUGCAACAGCAAGCACUGGUAAAUUAACUGGCAGGGAUGAUUACAGCUCCUCUGACGGUGGGUCUUUACAGAUUACAGUUACUCAAGACUGCAAGGUUAUAGAAUCUCUUGAGAGAGAGGACUUUCCCCCUUUGAAGACAUUACACUCUGGAAAAGUGUCUGGUACAGGGUACUCCAAAAAGCAAAAGAUUUAUGAAACUGAUGAGUUUAUACAUUAUUUAUUAAACUAUUAUCAAACUCCAAGCUACGCACGUGUCUGCCUAGAGCCAAAAAGCACCGUUAGCAAGUCUUGGUGGCAGAGGAUAGUGUCUGAUAAUGGGAAUGGCUUUCAGAUCAACUUGAAGAACAAAUAUGGGCAACGCUUUACAGAAGUGAGUUUUGUACAAAACCUUGACAAGGGAAAUUGUAGCGGGGAUGAUAAUUAUAGAUGGGAGAUCACAAUUCGGAAAUCUGAGCCUACAGAGAGUGUGUCAAAAAACAAGGCCUAUGCUGGAGGGUUUACAAAAAAGUUCCAAGUACAGUGGAAUGAUUCACUUGACAUUGCUAACUUACCAUAUGCUGAAUUUAAAAAUUCUUCUUUUGGAAGCAUUAAUACUAGUCAUGAUAAAGAAUCCAAUCAAGACAAUAACAGAAGAGUAGUUGCCCCACCAUAUAAACCCUCAGGCUCUGCAUACAAAUUAAAGGAUUUAAUGGAAGAGAUCAGUAGUGAUUCUGAGUAUUUCAGUGAGGCAAAGAGAACAGAAAGAAGAUAUAAAGAUGUUUACAGUGAUGGCAAUAAAGCAUGCUCCCUCCCAAGAGAGAUGGAGAGAAAAUUCCUUGUCUGUGUUAAAAAUGUAGGUCAAAGUUAUUCAGAAAAUGAAUCCAGCAAAUGUGGCUUCUGUUCAAAUUCUACCCAUGGUGGCUUGACAAAGCAGUGUAGACAUAAGCUUAAAAAAUCAUUCAAGAGGUGCAGUAGUAAAUUGAGACAUGAAGGGCGAAAAAGUGAGUGGAAAUCCAAUGAAGAGGUGAUAAAUACCCACAAAAAGAAGAAAAAGAGAAAAAAGCUCUCCCCUAACAUUUUACCUGAUGAACAUGGCUUCUCUGAAAUGGAUAGUUGGAGACAGUUGGAAUCUCUAAAAAAGAUACAGAGAAAAUGUAGCAAAAUGUUCCACCAUAAGAUGAAAUUCAAAACACUUCAUGUGAUGGCAGCAGCAUCAUCAAAAGAUGCCAUUCAUACUGAUGCCUCUCUGCUGCAGAGAUCUCGCCAAAGGGCAGGUGAGGUGGGGGAAGUGAAAUAGAACCAAGAUGACACUCCUCAAUUUGACAGGUUUAAGGAUUCUGUGCAAAAUUAUGGUUACUUACACAAUCACUCUGGCAGUCAAGCUCACCUAACUGUUGAAAGUAGUUUAGAAGGAGGAGACGCUGAUUCCUCUGACACCUAAAGGACUUGACAGUCUGUUAGUUCAGCAGCACUCUUUGGGGUGGGAGACUGGACCGCAGCACCAUGCCUGGGCCCUGCAGGGUGCCUACUUGCAUUUGAGUGGCUGUGAGAGUAUGCUGUAGUUACACCCCUGUGCAGGGUUCCUGUCUUUAUGCACCUAAGCAGCCAGGUUAAAAGUGGCCUGGAGAUGAUACCUUUGUCUAGGUGCUGCUUCUCCUGGUGGCAGAAGCCACCGUCAUUCUUAUUUAUCCUGGACCUGGGAACCUAAGAAAUCCUGCUGCUGAAGUGAAGCAAGAAGAGGCUCCCAAGGACUUGGUCUAAGGUUUAAAUUAAUAAAAGGGGAGAGCGAGGGACCAAUCAGCUCCCCUCCUUCUCUGGCUGGCUAAUAGAUGAGAGCCUUUGGAGGAGGGGCCAUCCUGCAUUUCCACAGUAUCUGCUCCCCCCAUGCCUCUGGGACUGUCCCAAUCACUGCCAUCAAGUUUCUACCUGUUGAGCUGGGAGAUGAGAGGAAAUUAACACUGAGGAAAGAGAUGGAUGCAGAUGUUGGAGGAUGUCUUGUUUCCUGUUGAGUUAACAAAUCCAUGCUCUGAUGCUGUCUGUGGAGCAGAACCCAAAAGAGAAUGCUGAUUAGUUGCUAGCUAAUGGCAAUGAGACUUUGAAGCUGCUCACAAAAGCUUCUACCCCGGCUCUCCCCCCAAAAAGGCCUUUUAUAUGGCUCUAAGAAGUGAACUGUAAGGCCAGGUCUUUAGUGAUUAUAAGCAGUCUAAGAUAGUCUAUUUUGUUUAGACUCCUUUAAUGCAUGCUGGAGCGGUAGGACAGUGAAACAAUCAAGUUAGUAUAAGCUCCAAAAAUAGAAUCUGUAAGGAUUUGGCAUUGAUAUGAAACAAGACCAAAGCUAUUGUGAACCAACUGCUGAGAGUUUUGAAGCUUAAUGGGUUGAAGCCUCUGAGUGGCACCCAGCUAAGUCCAGGGGAGCCAUAAAACAUUUGCAUUCUGGUAUCUAGUAAUUAUUAUACAGUUGAAUUGAUUGUGCACAAACCACUUAUACACAGAUGGAAUAAAUCUUUUAAGUACCCAUAUAUUCAGAGUGCCUCCUCAGUCAUAUUGUUAAUAUGAUGGGAUGGCAAGAGGGUGGGGUAUGGCAACCUUGCAAUUCAGUUGUUGGGAGAGGGGUGGGGGGUGAAAACUUGCACAGUGUAUUUCUAAAUUUGAGAAAAUACACCCUAGUACAUUUUAACCUUCUCCGAGCAGCUACACUGAGAAAGUUCCUCAGCAUUCCGUUAAAAUUCUAGGAAUGAGCCAGAAAACUUGACAUUUUCCUGGGCUGAUCUAAAUCAUUACACUGCCACUAGAUUUAGCAUUCCUGAGAUGUUGAGUGAGGAUAUUCCAAACAAAGCUCUAAACGUUGAACAAUGAAAGGAGAUGAUUUCAGCAUGCUGACCAUCAGCAUGAAAGAUUACCUUCAAUACAGGGUGAAAAUUGCUUGCAGGAUUUCUAAGACGGGCCUUUCUGGAGGCACAAGCAGUGAGACAGCUACUUAGUUUAAGGUAGCUUACAGAUAAUUCCCAGAGAAGACUUCAUUUUCAAAACGUUGCUAACUUUUAUAAAUCUCUGCUGCAUGGAGACAUGUGAAAAUGCAGACUAGAAGCUUGACCUAGUAUCUACAUUUAUUCAGUUCUCUCUCUUUAGCAGAUAGCCACAGCUGCUCUUGGACAAAGUCCCUCAUGAAGAUGUAGAUGGAAAUGGAACAGAUUCUGGUCUGAAUUUAGACCAACAUACUUACUGUUUCAGGUUUCAUUUUAGUAUGCUUUAUUUAUUACAUGUCAAGAUACUAAAUGUAAUGUAGCUGCCUUCAUUACACAGCAUAUCAUUCAUGUUUGUAACCUCUGCGCUAAUAAAGUAGUCGUAAAAAUGUUUGCAGUUAAUCAUUCAUGUUAUAUUGUGUUUCCCACUGCAUUGUUCAAUAGUGGUGACUUCUGCAGCCUUCUAAGCCAGGUUUUACCCCAGUCUAUUCUUAUUGUUAAAAACAUGUUCAUAUGUUGAGUGCCUUUUUCAGGUUCACAGUAAUCAAUGACAAAUGGUUGCUACUCAAACUACUGUUAUGUAUGACACCUUUUUGGUUGAAGACAGCUUCUUGCUGAGAAUAUCGUCUAUAUACUUUGGAAAACGUAUCCCCCCCUGCUUUUUAAAUAGUUGUAAUGAAGACCAACUAUUGCAAUUGUUUACCAUGUAAAUAUCUCUGUUCCACUGUAGUGGCAUAAGUGUUUUUCCUCUAUGCAAUAUUUACAGCCACAAAAAGCAAACUUUUCCCCCACUGAUCCUGAAAUGGCUAUUUAUGUACAUAGGCUUAGGCACAUUGCAUUAUAUAAUUCACACACUUACAGGUAAGGAAGUGACUUUAUCUAGAACUGGAACGAAAUAUUUCUUAAGUGUAAUUUUAUGAUAGUUUUGCACCAUGCUGUCAUCCUACUUAAAAGCAAAUAAAUAUACUGAUUCUAUACUUGCUUUUUGCACCACCUAGAUUCAUUUACAAACAAGCAAAUCCUGAAUUUAAAAUGUCCAAUUUAGAUAAUAAAACACAAAUAAAGUGAAUAAAAUGUAAUAUGUGCACUUUAAAAUGAAAAUGCCAAUCUGAUUGGUUUUACUUCAUCAUAUUGAGAUAUGAAAUAACUUUAGACAUAAUUUCAGCAAACUCUUUCCUUAGUAGUUUAUAGAUUGAAUUGUUUAGAUCCUACCCCCAGGUAUUUUUUAUUAUUAAUUUCCUUACCUUUCUUCCCAGACACACAUUACCUGAGCCCCUGUAGUUUCAUAUUUUGGACUGUUCAGCAUGAUUUGUUUCAUGGCCCAAUAUUUAUUUACAUUACUUUUGUAAAAUAACUACAGAAUUUUCUAAGACUUUGCUUUUAAACUUAAAACAAAAGAACUGUUGGUGUUUUUUGGUUAAACUUGUAUAUUGAGGUUGCUCAGAAAUAAGAUGUAAUGUCUUAAUUAUGAAAGUUAAAGAAUAAAAUGUAUUUUUAUUUUA